AGAUCAACAUACAUGAAAAGAUCAACAUGUGAAGAGUUCAACAUACAUGAAGAGAUCAACAUACAUGAAGAGUUCAACAUGUUAAAAGUUCAACAUACAUGAAGAGAUCAACAUUUGAAGAGUUCAACAUACAUGAAGAGAUCAACAUGUGAAGCGUUCAACAUUUGAAGAGUUCAACAUUUGAAGAGUUCAACAUACAUGAAGAAAUCAACAUGUGAAAAGUU